rnacentral:lncRNA from 1 species
GCUACUUCCUCCGAUCCUUUUAGAAAUAUAGACCAGAUACAUUAAUUUUUCAAUGAAUCUAAAAAGAUGAAAUGUCUCUUAUAAAAAAAACUGAAAGGAGUGUAACAUAGCAGAAAUAACAACUAUAGUGAUACUAUAACACUAUUUCAUAGUAGAAUUACACCAGACUGGUAUUUUUCACGAUCUGUGAUUGACAACACCGAAAACAUAAAGAAGAAGACGAAGACGAAGAAGAAGAAGAAGAAGAAGAAGAAGAAGAAGAAGAAGAAGAAGAAGAAGAAGAAGAAGAAGGAAAAAAAAACACAAUGGGAAAACAAACACAAAUCCUUCAAAAGGAAAAAAGUAACUAACCUUGAGUUGUGAUGAGCCUAUAAGCAUGGCCUAAAGUGAGAGUGUCUUCAGGCUUAAGNNNNNNNNNNNNNNNNNNNNNNNNNNNNUAGCACCCUAUAGGGCCUUCCUUUUGUAAGAACUUCUCAACAAACUUAUGGUUGUUAUGAAAGUCAAUUGAUUGGGGACCGUGUGCUAAUAAUACUACUAAUAAUAAUUAUUAUUGUAAAAUAAUGUAA